UGUUAUUCUUACUCUCUUGACGCCCGAAACUUUAUGUUCCGAAAGAAAACAAACAGAAAGUGACUG
ensembl:ncRNA C35C5.14 ncRNA